rnacentral:rRNA from 1 species
GUCAGCGGCGGACGGGUGAGUAACACGUGGGAACGUACCCUUUGGUUCGGAAUAACUUGAGGAAACUUGAGCUAAUACCGGAUACGCCCUUUUGGGGAAAGGCUUGACUGCCGGAGGAUCGGCCCGCGUCUGAUUAGCUAGUUGGUGAGGUAACGGCUCACCAAGGCGACGAUCAGUAGCUGGUCUGAGAGGAUGAUCAGCCACACUGGGACUGAGACACGGCCCAGACUCCUACGGGAGGCAGCAGUGGGGAAUAUUGGACAAUGGGCGCAAGCCUGAUCCAGCCAUGCCGCGUGAGUGAUGAAGGCCUUAGGGUUGUAAAGCUCUUUUAUCCGGGACUGAUAAUGACGGUACCGG